UACAGAGGGGGCAAGCGUUGUUCGGAAUUACUGGGCGUAAAGGGCUCGUAGGCGGCCAACUAAGUCAGACGUGAAAUCCCUCGGCUUAACCGGGGAACUGCGUCUGAUACUGGAUGGCUUGAAUCCGGGAGAGGGAUGUGGAAUUCCAGGUGUAGCGGUGAAGUGCGUAGAUAUCUGGAGGAACACCGGUGGCGAAGGCGGCAUCCUGGACCGGUAUUGACGCUGAGGAGCGAAAGCCAGGGGAGCAAACGGG
rnacentral:rRNA from 1 species